rnacentral:rRNA from 1 species
CCUACGGGUGGCAGCAGUGGGGAAUAUUGCACAAUGGCGGAAACCCUGAUGCAGCGACGCCGCGUGAGUGAAGAAGUAAUUCGUUAUGUAAAGCUCUAUCAGCAGGGAAGAAAAUGACGGUACCUGAGUAAGAAGCCCCGGGCAAAUACGUGCCAGCAGCCGGGGUAACACGGCGGGGGCAAGCGUUAUCCGGAUUUAAUGGGCGUAAAGGGGGCGUAGACGGGAGUGCAAGUCUGGAGUGAAAGGCGGGGGUUCAACCCCCGGCCGGCUCUGGAAACUGGACGGCUGGAGUGCAGGAGAGGUAAGUGGAAUGCGUAGUGUAGCGGUGAAAUGCGUAGAUAUUAGGAAGAACACCAGUGGCGAAGGCAGCUUACUGGACUGUAACUGACGUUGAGGCUCGAAAGCGUGGGGAGCGAACAGGAUUAGAUACCCUAGUAGUC